UUAUCGUUAGAGGAAGGAGAAGUCGUAACAAGGUUUCCGUAGGUGAACCUGCGGAAGGAUCAUUGUCGAAUCCUGCAUAGCAGAACGACCCGUGAACAUGUACUGAUAUCCUGGUGUCAUAGGAUUCGGUCUUUUGUCUGAGCCCUAUGGUGCCUUGUUGGUUUUCGUCCUUGGAUGCCUCUUUGGGGCCUCCAUGGGUGUUGAUCAGCAUAACAAACCCCGGCACGGCAUGUGCCAAGGAAAACUAAACUUAAGAAGGGCUUGUGCCAUGUUGCCCCGUUCGCGGUGUGCGCAUGGGACGUAGCAUCUUUGUAACCACAAACGACUCUCGGCAACGGAUAUCUCGGCUCACGCAUCGAUGAAGAACGUAGCAAAAUGCGAUACUUGGUGUGAAUUGCAGAAUCCCGUGAACCAUCGAGUUUUUGAACGCAAGUUGCGCCCGAAGCCACUCGGCCGAGGGCACGUCUGCCUGGGCGUCACGCAUCACGUCGCCCCCCACCAUGCUUCCUUGAUGGGGGUGCUUGGUGAGGGGGCGGAUAUUGGUCUCCCGUGCCUAUGGUGCGGUUGGCCAAAAUUCGAGUCCCCUUUGACGGACGCACGACAAGUGGUGGUUGACAAAAACCUCGUCUCGUGUCGUGUGUUUUGAGUUGUAAGGGAAUGCCUCAUAAAGCACCCCAAUGCAUCGUCUUGUGACGAUACUUCGAUCGCGACCCCAGGUCAGGCGGGACUACCCGCUGAGUUUAA
rnacentral:misc_RNA from 1 species